GACGAACGCUGGCGGCGUGCCUAAUACAUGCAAGUAGAACGCUGAAGAGAGGAGCUUGCUCUUCUUGGAUGAGUUGCGAACGGGUGAGUAACGCGUAGGUAACCUGCCUGGUAGCGGGGGAUAACUAUUGGAAACGAUAGCUAAUACCGCAUAAAAUGGAUUAUCGCAUGAUAAUCCAUUGAAAGGUGCAAAUGCAUCACUACCAGAUGGACCUGCGUUGUAUUAGCUAGUUGGUGGGGUAACGGCUCACCAAGGCGACGAUACAUAGCCGACCUGAGAGGGUGAUCGGCCACACUGGGACUGAGACACGGCCCAGACUCCUACGGGAGGCAGCAGUAGGGAAUCUUCGGCAAUGGUCGGAAGUCUGACCGAGCAACGCCGCGUGAGUGAAGAAGGUUUUCGGAUCGUAAAGCUCUGUUGUAAGAGAAGAACGAGUGUGAGAGUGGAAAGUUCACACUGUGACGGUAUCUUACCAGAAAGGGACGGCUAACUACGUG
rnacentral:rRNA from 1 species